rnacentral:rRNA from 1 species
UACGUAGGGUGCGAGCGUUGUCCGGAAUUAUUGGGCGUAAAGAGCUCGUAGGCGGCUCGUUGCGUCGGCUGUGAAAACCCGCAGCUCAACUGUGGGCUUGCAGCCGAUACGGGCGGGCUGGAGUUCGGCAGGGGAGACUGGAAUUCCUGGUGUAGCGGUGAAAUGCGCAGAUAUCAGGAGGAACACCGGUGGCGAAGGCGGGUCUCUGGGCCGAUACUGACGCUGAGGAGCGAAAGCGUGGGGAGCGAACAGG